GAACUUCACUGCUAAAUGGAAAGAACCAACUACAUCGACAGGUCUACUAGGUCGAGGCAUGACCCACGUGGACAAUAAGUCUGCUGACCCGAUCGGCAAAUCGACCGAUUCGUCAAGAAGUCGCUUCACUUUUUGUCUGGAUAAACUUAAAUUUUGUGCCGGCCCACAAUAUGCACACCGUGGUCUGUUUGGUAAUAGCAUAGGAGGAUUUUUUCCUGAAACUCAAAUUGAUAUCGACAUCAAAGUAGAGAAACGUCAAUUUGUAAGUAGCAGUCCCCUCAACGUUAGUCAUGGUACCACUCCCUCAUCGGAAUCAUUUGAAGAUGAUGAUCUACCCACUCUUCGACAAAAGAAAGCAAAGUUGGAGAAAGUUAUCAAGAAGCGUGAGCUAGAACAAGACAUCCAUUCCCUUGAGGCUAAGCUGGAUGGGUUGAACACCGAGAGUCGGGAAGUCACAAAUUUGGCAGAAUCACUGUCAUCUCUAUCUACCAAUGGGACUUUAAAGUGACAGGAACAGAAGUCUCAAAGAAAGAUUUGGAAGCGGUGAGGAGAACAAGGAGGGGUGAUCCGGGAAAGUUUGGGUUUGUGCAGAUUAAGUUAUGGUAAUGUGCGUCUGAAGAAUUCCAACUUAACUUUUUUAAUCUCCACCCACUUUACAAACAUGAAAUAUUUUAUAACAAAAUUAUCACUGCUUUGAAUAUUCGCUCUAGUCCUGUGUAGGUACCGUUGUUGACUUGAGCAUAAAACAUUUUUUUGUAUAUUAUUGCAUUUUCUGAAUGUAAAGGCAUAUUUUUAUAAAGCAAAUUUGAAACGUUUCACAAGCCUAUAAGGCAAAAAUCUGUACAAUACAAGUGCAGGUAUAAUCUUUUUAUUUCUCAGCUGUUUUAUUUUCUUUAUUACAGUCCAAGGAAAAUAAUAGUAAUAUUUGUACUAUUUUGUAGUUUAUAAUAUUCCCCCCCCCCUCCAAAAAAAAAUUCUCGUUUGAGCAGGUUUUUAAGUUUCUAUUAGGACUUUUACCAAAAGCGUAACAUUCUUUUGGAGCCCCAAAAUACCAAAAAAAAA